CGACCUUUCCCCUCUCUGCCGACGCGAACCUCCCUUCCUUCUCGGUUCUCUCUCGCGGACAAGCGACGGCGACGGGAGCAAGGGUCCAGCUCCGGCGAUCGUCGAUCUCGACCCAGGGGAGCAGUCGCUAGCGCAGAUCCGGACGUGGGUGAUUUUCUCCAGCCCUAGGUGAGAGCGCUGAUCUUCUCUCGGCGUCGUCGGCGCAGAUCGGAGCUCGGAGCAUAAGGGUUCCGAUUCUCUCCUCCUCUGGUUUCCUUCAAUCUCCGAUUUCUUUCUUCUCAGCCGAGUCUGCCGAUCCUUUUCUUCCCCGAUCGACAUCACUGGAUUGAGUCGUGCCGCCCGAUCGCCGGCGUGGAAGAGCAAUUAGGGCUUCAAAGGAGGCGAGGUCCUGUUCUGUGAAGGCGAUCUUGGAUUCCCUCUGUGUCGCUGCUGAUUGAGGUCUCGGGUGAAUUGGGAAAGAACUCCAGCAGAGGUUGCUGUGAGUUUUCUGAUCCAGCAAGGUGAAGAUCUGUUUUGGUUCUUGCUGUGGUGUCUUUAGCUUCGGCAGACACCUCAUCCAGCCAGCUCAGUUUGGAUCGGCAGUCAUCCAUACCUCAGUGUACUUGAUACAGCACCUAGUUCAGCUGGGAAUUGAGGACUCUGAUUCGAGACGAGCAUCUCGAUAUUGGAUUAGGACCGGAUUGUACCU